AAAAUAGCUAAGAUUCCAUUUCUGAUAUUAGUAAAGCUAUACCAGAUUAUUAUUUAUUAUUUUUUUUUUUGAGACACAGUCUCACUCUGUCACUCAAGCUGGAAGGCAGUGGCGUGAUGACAGCUCACUGCAGCUUCAACCUCCUGGGCUCAUGCAUUCCUCCUGCCUCAGCUUCCCAAGUAGCUGGAAGCACAGACAUGCACCACUAUGCCCAGCUAAUUUUUUUUUUUUUUUUUUUUGUAGAGACAAUGUCCCACUAUGUUUCCCAGGCUGGUCUCAAACUUCUGGGCUCAAGUGAUCCAUCUGGGCCUCCCAAAGUGCUGGAAUUACAGCUCCUGGAAGGCAAGGCCUGGAUCCUAUUUAAAUUGAUGUCUCCAUGGACAGCAUCAAGAAGAUAUUCAGUAAAAUCUGUUGAGUUGAAUUGUCUACAGUAA
rnacentral:lncRNA from 1 species